rnacentral:rRNA from 1 species
AGGAUUAACGCUGGCGGCGUGCCUGACACAUGCAAGUCGAACGAGGCCGCAAGGCCGAGUGGCGGACGGGUGAGUAACACGUGACCAACCAACCUCGAAGUUGGGAAUAGCUCUGCGAAAGUAGGGGUAAUACCGAAUGUGGCCCAGGGCGGGCAUCCGCCUUGGUCUAAAGAUUCAUCGCUUCGAGACGGGGUUGCGGCCUAUUAGCUUGUUGGUGAGGUAACGGCUCACCAAGGCGAUGAUGGGUAGCUGGUCUGAGAGGACGACCAGCCACACUGGGACUGAGACACGGCCCAGACUCCUACGGGAGGCAGCAGUGAGGAAUCUUCCGCAAUGGGCGAAAGCCUGACGGAGCAACGCCGCGUGUGGGAUGGAAGACUCUAGGGUUGUAAACCACUGGUCGGAGGGGACGAUCGUGACGGUACCCUCAAGAACGCCCCGGCUAACUACGCGCCAGCAGCCGC